GAUGAAGAACGUAGCGAAAUGCGAUACGUAAUGUGAAUUGCAGAAUUCAGUGAAUCAUCGAAUCUUUGAACGCAUAUUGCGCUCUCUGGUAUUCCGGAGAGCAUGCUUGUUUGAGUAUCAGUAAACACCUCAACUUCCAUAUCUUUUUUGAAAUGGGAGUUGGACUUGAGUGAUCCCAACGCUUUUCCUCACCGAAAAGUGGCGGGUUACUUGAAAUGCAGGUGCAGCUGGACUUUUCUCUGAGCUAUAAGCAUAUCUAUUUAGUCUGCCUAAAAAACAGAUUAUUACCUUUGCUGCAGCUAACAUAAAGGAGAUUAGUUCUUGUGCUGACUGAUGCAGGAUUCACAAAGACGGCUUCGGCCGACUUUGUAAACUCGAUCUCAAAUCAAGUAAGACUACCCGCUGAACUUAAGCAUAUCAAUAAGCGGAGGAU
rnacentral:misc_RNA from 1 species